UACGUAGGGUGCAAGCGUUGUCCGGAAUUAUUGGGCGUAAAGAGCUCGUAGGCGGUUCGUCGCGUCGGCUGUGAAAACCUGAGGCUCAACCUCAGGCCUGCAGUCGAUACGGGCGGACUUGAGUACUGCAGGGGAGACUGGAAUUCUCGGUGUAGCGGUGAAAUGCGUAGAUAUCGAGAGGAACACCUGCGGCGAAGGCGGGUUGCUGGGCUGACACUGACGCUGAAGCGCGAAAGCUAGGGGAGCGAACGGG
rnacentral:rRNA from 1 species